rnacentral:rRNA from 1 species
GGUGCUAAUACCGCAUAACCAUAGUUACCGCAUGGUAACUAUGUAAAAGGUGGCUAUGCUACCGCUUUUGGAUGGGCCCGCGACGCAUUAGCUAGUUGGUGGGGUAAAGGCUUACCAAGGCAAUGAUGCGUAGCCGAACUGAGAGGUUGAUCGGCCACAUUGGGACUGAGACACGGCCCAAACUCCUACGGGAGGCAGCAGUAGGGAAUCUUCCACAAUGGGCGAAAGCCUGAUGGAGCAACGCCGCGUGGGUGAAGAAGGUCUUCGGAUCGUAAAACCCUGUUGUUAGAGAAGAAAGUGCGUGAGAGUAACUGUUCACGUUUCGACGGUAUCUAACCAGAAAGCCACGGCUAACUACGUGCCAACAGCCGCGGUAAUACGUAGGUGGCAAGCGUUAUCCGGAUUUAUUGGGCGUAAAGAGAACGCAGGCGGUCUUUUAAGUCUGAUGUGAAAGCCUUCGGCUUAACCGGAGUAGUGCAUUGGAAACUGGGAGACUUGAGUGCAGAAGAGGAGAGUGGAACUCCAUGUGUAGCGGUGAAAUGCGUAGAUAUAUGGAAGAACACCAGUGGCGAAAGCGGCUCUCUGGUCUGUAACUGACGCUGAGGUUCGAAAGCGUGGGUAGCAAACAGGAUUAGAUACCCUGGUAGUCCACGCCGUAAACGA